AGGGUUUUAGUUUAAUAAAAAUAUAAGUUUUGCAUACUUAAGAUUUAGGCUCUA
rnacentral:tRNA from 1 species